UACGUAGGGCGCAAGCGUUGUCCGGAAUUAUUGGGCGUAAAGAGCUCGUAGGCGGUUUGUCGCGUCUGCUGUGAAAACUCGAGGCUCAACCUCGGGCUUGCAGUGGGUACGGGCAGACUAGAGUGCGGUAGGGGAGACUGGAAUUCCUGGUGUAGCGGUGGAAUGCGCAGAUAUCAGGAGGAACACCGAUGGCGAAGGCAGGUCUCUGGGCCGCAACUGACACUGAGGAGCGAAAGCAUGGGGAGCGAACAGG
rnacentral:rRNA from 1 species